ensembl:snRNA U2 U2 spliceosomal RNA
AUCCAUUUAUCGCUUCUCUGCCUUGAUCAAGUGUAGUAUCUGUUCUUAUCACUUUAAUAUCUGAUACGUUCUCUAUAUGAAGACUACAUAUUACAUUUAUUUAAUAUGUAAAUGUAAAGUUGUGGGCUGGAGGCGACCCUGU